UUGAUCCUGGCUCAGAAUCAACGCUGGCGGCGCGCUUAACACAUGCAAGUCGAACGAGAAAGCCCGCAAGGGUGAGUAAAGUGGCGCACGGGUGAGUAAUACGUGGGUAAUCCACCCUCUGGUGGGGAAUAACUUUGGGAAACCGAAGCUAAUACCGCAUAAGACCGGGAGGUGAAAGGGCGAAAGUUCGCCGGAGGAGUAGCCCGCGGCUGAUUAGCUAGUUGGUAGGGUAAGAGCCUACCAAGGCUGUGAUCGGUAGCCGGCCUGAGAGGGCACACGGCCACACUGGCACUGAAACAUGGGCCAGACUCCUACGGGAGGCAGCAGUGGGGAAUCUUGCACAAUGGGGUCAACCCUGAUGCAGCGACGCCGCGUGAGUGAUGAAGCCCUUCGGGGCGUUAAGCUCUUUCGACCCGGAAGAUAAUGACGGUACGGGGAGAAGAAGCUGCUGCUAACUACGUGCCAGCAGCCGCGGUAAUU
rnacentral:rRNA from 1 species